GGAUAGAGGUGCGGAAUCUAUCAGUACCCUCGGCGAUAACAGUUCAGCCUGUUGCCGCGUGGAAAGGAGCUUCCGCCGAAGCCUGCAAUCGCUGGAACUUGCAGAGCUGGUUGUGCAUUUAAUAAGUGUAUGACUGUCAUCAUACGAUGGAGUGCUAUC
rnacentral:ncRNA from 1 species